GUGUGAGAUAUCCAUGUUUAUUUUAUCUUCAAACCCUAUGCGAGAAUCAGUAGCAAGAAAACUUUUCAUAAUUAUGAUUUUUCAAAAUCCCAACCCAUCAUUUCGUUCCAUCUAUAUCCAAUUCGUCCUAAUAAAAAACCUAAUGCUUCAUGAACUCUUUUCCACCUAACAUUCUAAGUUUUAGUUUCUUAGCACCUUUCCAGUUCAUUUUAUGUUAUUAUUGUUCUCACUAUGAACCUGAAAUCUUAGUAUUAAAUAGAAUAACCCAAAAAGUUAACAAAAAAGGAUUUUAUCUUGAAAAUCUGUGUGUCAACAAUGACUACUGACACCCUGCUCACAAAACAACUAACUUGCCAAUCAUAUGAAGAUUUCCAGCCACCCAGUUACAGCACCAAUGAUAGUAUUAAGAACUAUAGCCAAAAAUGCUUCUUCAUAUAUCUACCACAAAUUACAGUCCACAGUUUAUACACGUGAAUUCAGAAAGCAGCAUGCAUAACUCCAAAGUAUUUGUUCAUUUAUCAAGUUGCCGGAGCCAAGUUGGCAUGCAUCACCAAAAGCCUAUUUUCGACCAGCUGAACCCUUCAAAUGCACAAAAUACCAGCUUACCAUCAUCCAUUGUCAUUGAACUUAGCACUAAAUUUUAUCAAGAUCACUACACUUCAAUUUGAAUUAUACAAAACACUCAAUUUUGAGAUUGUUAUUAUUAGAUUUUAAUAGAAUUUGUCGGAUUUUUUACAUAGAAAUCAGUUAAAAUUUUCUACUGGACUUUGAUCUCUACAAAAAUAACACUUGUGACCCUAUUGAAAUGAAAUAAAAAUUGACCCAUUUUAUUGAUACACAUUGUUAAAUUAACCCACACAACUGCAUUCGAUCAUACAAAAUCAAGAACAUAGAUACCUCAAUUUGAGCCGGAUUCUGAUGGGAUCAUCCCCGCCUUCCUCGCAUAGGAGAAAAUCCCUCCGGCCUCAAUCACCGGCCCAGCAUCGCCUAUGGGCUUCAGCUUGUAUUCCUUCCCAGUAGUGUGAUUAAUCAAGCGA
rnacentral:misc_RNA from 1 species